CCUACGGGAGGCAGCAGUAGGGAAUCUUCCACAAUGGGCGAAAGCCUGAUGGAGCAACGCCGCGUGGGUGAAGAAGGUCUUCGGAUCGUAAAACUCUGUUGUUAGAGAAGAAAGUGCGUGAGAGUAACUGUUCACGUUUCGACGGUAUCUAACCAGAAAGCCACGGCUAACUACGUGCCAGCAGCCGCGGUAAUACGUAGGUGGCAAGCGUUAUCCGGAUUUAUUGGGCGUAAAGGGAACGCAGGCGGUCUUUUAAGUCUGAUGUGAAAGCCUUCGGCUUAACCGGAGUAGUGCAUUGGAAACUGGGAGACUUGAGUGCAGAAGAGGAGAGUAGAACUCCAUGUGUAGCGGUGAAAUGCGUAGAUAUAUGGAAGAACACCAGUGGCGAAAGCGGCUCUCUGGUCUGUAACUGACGCUGAGGUUCGAAAGCGUGGGUAGCAAACAGGAUUAGAUACCCUUGUAGUC
rnacentral:rRNA from 1 species